AUUGAACGCUGGCGGAAUGCUUUACACAUGCAAGUCGAACGGCAGCACGGGUGCUUGCACCUGGUGGCGAGUGGCGAACGGGUGAGUAAUGCACCGGAACGUAUCCAAUAAUGGGGGAUAACGCACCGAAAGGUGUGCUAAUACCGCAUACGCCCUGAGGGGGAAAGCGGGGGAUCGUAAGACCUCGCGUUAAUGGAGCGGCCGAUGCCGGAUUAGCUAGUUGGUGAGGUAAAGGCUCACCAAGGCGACGAUCCGUAGCUGGUCUGAGAGGAUGAUCAGCCACACUGGGACUGAGACACGGCCCAGACUCCUACGGGAGGCAGCAGUGGGGAAUAUUGGACAAUGGGCGCAAGCCUGAUCCAGCAAUGCCGCGUGUGUGAAGAAGGCCUGCGGGUUGUAAAGCACUUUUGUUCGGGAAGAAAUCAAUGCUGGUUAAUACCUGGUAUGGAUGACGGUACCGAAAGAAUAAGACACCGGCUAACUUCGUG
rnacentral:rRNA from 1 species